GGCAAGAUGGCCGAGCGGUCUAAGGCGCUGGAAUCAGGCGGUUCUUGACUGAAUGUGAGCAUGGGAGCCAUGCACAUUUUCCGUAUCCAGUCCAGCAAUGGGCGCGAGUUCGAAUCUCGUUCUUGUCA